CUCUUAUCAAGAGCGGCGGAGGGAUUAGGCCCUGUGAUGCCCGGCAACCGGCUAGUUAUGCAAAGGUGCUACUUCCUACAAACUGUUGACAGUUUGGAAGAUAAGAG
rnacentral:ncRNA from 2 species